rnacentral:rRNA from 1 species
GAUGAACGCUCGCUACAGGCUUAACACAUGCAAGUCGAGGGGCAGCAUGAACUUAGCUUGCUAAGUUUGAUGGCGACCGGCGCACGGGUGAGUAACACGUAUCCAACCUGCCGAUGACUCGGGGAUAGCCUUUCGAAAGAAAGAUUAAUACCCGAUGGCAUAGUUCUUCCGCAUGGUAGAACUAUUAAAGAAUUUCGGUCAUCGAUGGGGAUGCGUUCCAUUAGGUUGUUGGCGGGGUAACGGCCCACCAAGCCUUCGAUGGAUAGGGGUUCUGAGAGGAAGGUCCCCCACAUUGGAACUGAGACACGGUCCAAACUCCUACGGGAGGCAGCAGUGAGGAAUAUUGGUCAAUGGACGAGAGUCUGAACCAGCCAAGUAGCGUGAAGGAUGACUGCCCUAUGGGUGGUAAACUUCUUUUAUACGGGAAUAAAGUGAGGCACGUGUGCCUUUUUGUAUGUACCGUAUGAAUAAGGAUCGGCUAACUCCGUG